rnacentral:rRNA from 1 species
AUUGAACGCUGGCGGCAUGCCUUACACAUGCAAGUCGAACGGUAACAGGUUAAGCUGACGAGUGGCGAACGGGUGAGUAAUAUAUCGGAACGUGCCCAGUAGUGGGGGAUAGCCCGGCGAAAGCCGGAUUAAUACCGCAUACGACCUACGGGUGAAAGGGGGGGAUCGCAAGACCUCUCGCUAUUGGAGCGGCCGAUAGCCGAUUAGGUAGUUGGGGGGGUAAAGGCCUACCAAGCCUGCGAUCUGUAGUUGGUCUGAGAGGACGACCAGCCCCACUGGGACUGAGACACGGGCCAGACUCGUACGGGAGGCAGCAGUGGGGACUUUUGGACAAUGGGCGCAAGCCUGAUCCAGCAAUGCCGCGUGCAGGAAGAAGGCCUUCGGGUUGUAAACUGCUUUUGUCAGGGAAGAAAUCCUCUGGGUUAAUACCUCGGGGGGAUGACGGUACCUGAAGAAUAAGCACCGGCUAACUACGUGCCAGCAGCCGCCGCAGUAA